AUGGAAAUCGAAUCAACCUUAUUUUGCACAAAAUCUUUAAAAAUAGCACGUACCGUGGGGGGUCCAGUGUUAAUCAGCGCUGAAGGGGGCAGGAGGCAGCUGGAGGUAGGGAGAGCAUCUUCCCUUCCUUCCCGGGAGCCCAGGGGUCCCUGCAGGGCCUGCGCCCCCACCCCGGGCCACCCCGCGGUCGGAGGACGAGGUGCCGCAGGAACCUCUUGCUUUUUCACUGGGGAAUCUGUAAGGAGGAGAGCAGGGCUGCCCCCCCAACGUGUCAGCAGGGCACCGUGUCCAAGCGCAGAAUCGCCCGCGGGGCCCCGGAGGACAAGGGGGCGGGGAAGUUGGACACAAAGAGUGUGGCCUUCGGCAGAGGCCCGAGGGGGGGUCCCCGCAAUGUUCGCGGGCGCAGCGGGGCCUCCGCGGGGGCCGUCCGGGUGCGGGUGGCCCCUGGCGCCCGAGCUCCGAGCUCCGAGCCUGCGAGCCUCGCGCGGUCCCGGCGACGGUGGGCGAAAGGCGGGGGGGCCGGGCCCGGGCCCCGCGGGGCCGAGCCUGGCGGCGGCGCGCGCUCCCUCACCCGAGCUGCGCGCCCCAGUGCACGCGCGCCCGGCGGAGGCGGAGGCCGCUCCCGCCCCCGCGGCGCGCUCCUCUGAGCGGCUGGGCCUCCGCGGACCGGGUCAUACAUGCCAUCGCCUGGAUGCCCGGAGGCCUAGGGCGACGCGUGUUUGUGUUCAGAACCUAAGAGGCGACGGGCCCCCCGCGCACCGGCUCCGAUGGGCUCAAGUCACUACCACGAACGAGCGGGUGAGCGCGGCUGGGCCGCGGGGACCCCCCUCCCCGGCCUGUGCGUGGAGCCCCGACCGCGUCCCGGGUCAGUUUGUCUGGCUGGUGUCCUGGGCACCUCUGGCAGGAAGACCUGGGGGUUUGGGAAAUGCCGCUGCCCUGACUCGAGCGUGGAUGUGGGGCCGACGUAGCACGCGGUGGCGCAGCGGCCUGAGUCAGCUCAGCGCCGGGUUCUGCUGCUGGAAAGAUCUGGAGAAGGAGCCAGCUCUCCUGCAGGAAGGAUCGAGCGCUGGGACCCGGCCGGGGCCUGGGGGCUGCCCCGGAGCCAAUGCUGACUUAGCGCCGGGACGGUGGUGCCCCUGCAUGGGUCACGAGUGCACGUGCGUGUGUGUGUGUGUGUGUGUGUGA
rnacentral:lncRNA from 12 species